rnacentral:rRNA from 1 species
GGCCGCGGGAAUUCGAUUUCUGGUUGAUCCUGCCAGACCCGACUGCUAUCAGAGUGGGACUAAGCCAUGCGAGUCAACGUAGCAAUGCGUGGCGAACGGCUCAGUAACACGUAGUCAACAUGCCCAGGGGACGUGGAUAACCUCGGGAAACUGAGAUUAAACCGCGAUAGGUCAAGAUUUCUGGAAUGGAUCCUGGCUUAAAUCUACAUGGCCCCUGGAUUGGACUGCGGCCGAUCAGGCUGUUGGUGAGGUAAUGGCCCACCAAACCUAUAACCGGUACGGGCUCUGAGAGGAGAAGCCCGGAGAUGGGCACUGAGACAAGGGCCCAGGCCCUAUGGGGCGUAGCAGGCGCGAAAACUCUGCAAUGGGCGAAAGCCUGACAGGGUUACUCUGAGUGAUUUCCGCUAAGGAGAUCUUUUGGCAGCUCUAAAAAUGGUGCAGAAUAAGGGGUGGGCAAGUCUGGUGUCAGCCGCCGCGGUAAUACCAGCACCCCGAGUGGUCGGGACGAUUAUUGGGCCUAAAGCAUCCGUAGCCGGUUGUGCAAGUCCUCCGUUAAAUCCAGCCGCUCAACGGAUGGGCUGCGGAGGAUACUACAGAACUAGGAGGCGGGAGAGGCAAGCGGUACUUAGUGGGUAGGGGUAAAAUCCUUUGAUCCAUUGAAGACCACCAGUGGCGAAGGCGGCUUGCCAGAACGCGCUCGACGGUGAGGGAUGAAAGCUGGGGGAGCAAACCGGAUUAGAUACCCGGGUAGUCCCAGCUGUAACGAUGCAGACUCGGUGAUGGGCUAGCCUCGUGUCAGCCCAGUGCCGUAGGGAAGCCGUUAAGUCUGCCGCCUGGGGAGUACGGUCGCAAGACUGAAACUUAAAGGAAUUGGCGGGGGAGCAUCACAAGGGGUGAAGCCUGCGGUUCAAUUGGAUUCAACGCCGGAAAUCACUAGUGAAUUC